rnacentral:lncRNA from 1 species
CCCCUUUUACUAAGCUGAUACAAUAUAGAAUACAGUGUAUAUGAAUUUUUUUCUCUUUUACCACACAUGAUACGUUGCCAGAAACCAACCAUUCUAGCUUUAAUAAGAAUAUGUAAUGGUAUUCUACCCAAUUCUCCAUAAAUCAUACAAUGAGCAGUACUUUUUUUAACAUUCAAAAUUAUUUUACAAAAUUGCAUAUGCAAGUUUUCUAUAAUAUUACAAUUUUCAAAACCCCAAACUUCUGCACC